AACUAGAUUCUAACCAACCUUGACUUGCUACUUGAAAGGUGAUUCUUGGAGUUCUUGGUACAACUUGCAAAGCUUGAGAGCUUGAGGUAAAUCUUAAAUCAUGAAUUUUAAUGCUUUAAAUUAGUAGGGUGUGCAUGUAAUUAAGGUGCUUAGAUAACCUAGAUACUUGGGUUGUUGAUGGCUUGGCUUGGGUUCUUGUUUUGAAGCUUGGAUCAUGUGUUUAUGUUUAUGCCUUCUAUGUGUUUGAUGUAUGGUUAGGUGUAUUAGGUGAGGAUUUCUUUAGAUUUUCUUGGUUGUGUUAGCAUGAGAAUCAUGGUUAAAGUAAGCUUAGUUAACUUGGUGCACAUGAAAUAAAAAUUGAACAUCCACGAGUUGGAAUUUAUGCUUGGGCUGGCCAAAUUUUUAGCUUCAAUUUUGUGAGGAUUUUUGUGUUGUUUUGAUGAGAUUUGUACUCAAGGAACUUGGUUUAACCUUACCCUAGAAGUGGAUGUUAUGUAUGUGUGUUUAAGUAGUAGUUUUGUUGGAGUAAAGUUAAGAAAAUAAGAGGAAGUGUUGUUGAAAAUUUUCGCACAGGAGACUAAGCAGUAUUGGUAAAUCUGUUAUAUCUUGGUUGCAACAAGAUUCAGAGUACAUUUUACCGUGAAAAUUUCAGAAUUUUUCUAAAUUCCUAUGAAUAUCUGUGAUUUUUCAAAGUUGACUGAAUUUCUAUUCCUAUUCUGUCUUUCUACUGGAUAAAGUAGCCAAUUGAGAUUGGAUUUUGACUAACUUGUGGAUAGAAUCUUGUAAAGGUGUCUUCUAAGAAAUUGUAACCCUUUGAAUCUAUUUUCCAACGGUAUAAAGUUUAUAAAUUUUGGACUUAAGAAGCUUGCGAUAUGAUUUUUCAAACAAUGUCAAGUAAAACUGGAGAAAAUUCUGUUUCCAAAUGUAUGCAUGCUGACCAAUUUUCUUGAGUUUAUUUCUCUUCACUUUUUUGUUUGUUUUGAUGAAAGUUUGGCUCAAUCUUGUGCUAUAAACUUAUUAGAACUCUUGUGGACUGAUUUGUAGUGAAAACCAUGCAUUUAAUUUGAAGAAACUUGAGUUUUGAUUGGCUUUUGAGUUGAAUUUCCUGAUUUCUGGGUAUGGAAUAGGGCUACUGUUUUGGCCUUGUUUCGCCAUCGAUUCGUGAUAGUUUGGACUUGAAAUAGCUUGUACUAUUUGCCAACACAUAAUACUAGAGUCAUGCUUCGAUUUGGUCGCAAACCGAUUACUCAAAGGGAGCGAAAAUUAGCUAUUUUUCACUACCAUAAAACUGAAAAAUUUCCAGUAUUUGUACCAUUUUCAUGUAUUUAUUGUUGUUCUUAGUUUUUGAUUCGAGAAACAUUCUUUUCACGCCAAACCUUGCUUGAAUCAUAAACCUAACGUGUAUUAGUGACUUUCUGGAACUUGGACCUUCGCGUAGGUUUUAAAACUUAUGUCCUUUUGAAAUCUUCUUUGGGUCAUUUGUCGCUUUGAAGUCAAGUCGCUCUAGUAGCUCUCUCAAUCAUUCCUUCUUUUGUUUAGUUGCUCUAGUUGGAAUCUUAAAGUUUUGUACUUGCUUGAAUAUAGGCUUUGGUAUGGAAAACGAGAACCUUGGUGGGACCAUUUGAUUUGCUCUGCUUUGUCGGUAAGUGUUCCAAUGCAUGUUAUUUGAUUAUGCAUGACUUGAGAAAAUGUUAUUAUUUGCUUAAGUGCUCUCCUUUGAAUGACAUGCAAAUAAGUGAAUGACUGUUGUGAUUUUCUUGUCUUGUUAAUUUGCUAAGAGUGCAUGUGUACAUUGUAUGAAUGAGUGAUAAAUGUGCAAGAAUGUAGGCCAAUGUGUACUUUAUCGCAUCUCGCAUCGGCUGAAUUGAGUUUAACCCUAUGCUGGCACCCUAUCCAAGACCUGCCUUUUGCAAGGUCGGAUCAGCUGGACAGUUUUGGGUUUAUAACUUACCAAUGUUAAGUGCAAAGCUCAAAACUCUUUGCCGAAAGGCCUUGAGUACAAUGUUUAAUGUUUAAUGUUAAAUGAGGGAAUUAUUGAUUUUUUAGAGGGCAUAACAUGAAUGUUAAAUGAGGGGAUUGUUGAUCUUUCGGAGGACAUAAUGUAGGAGUUUGGAGGUUAUAAGGUGGUAAAAUGUAGGAGAUUGUUUAUUGGCAAUUAUAAGAUGAAUGUUGCUCCAUGUGAGCCCCGUUUCCUUUUAAUGUUUAAAGUAUUGUUCAUCAUUGUAUUUACUUGAAUGAAUGAUUGAAAUGCACGCAUGAAUGUUAUUGUUUAUCAAGUAUUUUACAUUGAAUGAUUCCUAUUACAAUUAAUUGCUCCACUACCAGUUUUAAAGUUGAGUUUCGAUUUACUUGAACCUAUAUUACUUGGAAAAACGUGUUUACAUGUUAAAUUGUGUUAUUCUCUUACUUUGCUUGUUUACCUGGAAUGUUCACUGGGCGUAAGCUUAUCCCACGUUUUGUUUUCUUUAACAGGAUUCGGAUCCGAGAGUGCUCAAGAAUACAGUUAGAAUGUUUGAGGGGCUUUAAGUUUUAUUUUAAUAGAAAUAACUGUAGUGUAUAUAUUUUUAGGUUGUAGUUAAGAUAGGCGCCGAAUGAUAAAUCUUUUGUACGCGAACCUAUA
rnacentral:lncRNA from 1 species